rnacentral:rRNA from 1 species
UACUCAGUUCAGAUUGCAGGCUGCAACCCGCCUGCAUGAAGUCGGAGUUGCUAGUAGUCGCGGAUCAGCAUGCCGCGGUGAAUACGUUCCCGGGCCUUGUACACACCGCCCGUCACACCAUGGGAGCCGGUAAUACCCGAAGUCAGUAGUCCAACCUCGUGAGGACGCUGCCGAAGGUAGGAUUGGCGACUGGGGUGAAGUCGUAACAAGGUAGC